rnacentral:rRNA from 1 species
AACGAACGCUGGCGGCAUGCCUAACACAUGCAAGUCGAACGAGACCUUCGGGUCUAGUGGCGCACGGGUGCGUAACGCGUGGGAACCUGCCCUUAGGUUCGGAAUAACUCCCCGAAAGGGGUGCUAAUACCGGAUAAUGUCUUCGGACCAAAGAUUUAUCGCCUUUGGAUGGGCCCGCGUUGGAUUAGCUAGUUGGUAGGGUAAAAGCCUACCAAGGCGACGAUCCAUAGCUGGUCUGAGAGGAUGAUCAGCCACACUGGGACUGAGACACGGCCCAGACUCCGACGGGAGGCAGCAGGGGGGAAUAUUGGACAAUGGGCGAAAGCCUGAUCCAGCAAUGCCGCGUGAGUGAUGAAGGCCUUAGGGUGGUAAAGCUCUUUUACCCGGGAUGAUAAUGACAGUACCGGGAGAAUAAGCUCCGGCUAACUCCGU